UACGAAGGGGGCUAGCGUUGCUCGGAAUUACUGGGCGUAAAGGGCGCGUAGGCGGUUGUUUAAGUUAGAGGUGAAAGCCCAGGGCUCAACCCUGGAAUAGCCUUUAAUACUGGAUAUCUUGAGUUCGGGAGAGGUGAGUGGAACUCCGAGUGUAGAGGUGAAAUUCGUAGAUAUUCGGAAGAACACCAGUGGCGAAGGCGACUCACUGGCCCGAUACUGACGCUGAGGCGCGAAAGCGUGGGGAGCAAACAGG
rnacentral:rRNA from 1 species